rnacentral:rRNA from 1 species
UUUUCGCUCUAAGAAAUUUGUAUCUSGUGUGUAGUAGUAAAUGUAAAUGUUUAACUAGCUUAAUACACGUAGUCGUAACUGAAAGGUUGAUCGAUCACAAUGUGGCCUGAACAAAGCCCAUGACGAARGUUACRGCAGUGAGGAAUAUUGGUCAAUAGCCUAACGGCUGAACCAGCAACUUGGAGGAAUGAAAAGCAAUAGCUAAACGCACUAUUUUAUAGUGUAGUAUCGACCCUGUCGAAUAAAAUUCUAGGUAGAGUUAUGAUAAUGACAUUAUCUAUCUAUGUGUCUUGACCAAAUUACGUGCCAGCAGUCGCGGUAAUACGUAAAAGACUAGUGUUAUUCAUGAUUAAUAGGUUUAAAGAGUACCUAGACGGUUAAUGAAGCCCCUAAAGGGUACAUAUUAACUAGAGUUAUAUGAAAGGGAGCUUUGAGGUACUGUUGAGUGUAGAGAUGAAAUUCGUUAAUACCAGAUAAGUGGCACGGAUCUAUGCGAAGGCAUCUCCUUAUGUAAUAACUGACGUUGAAGGACGAAGGCUUUUGAAGUGAAGAGGAUUAGAUACCCUAGUAAUCCAAGCAGAAAAUGAUGAAUGUCAUAGGUUGRAUAAUAUAUUUGGUCUAUAAAUGAAAGUGUAAGCAUUCCACCUCAAGAGUAAUUUGGCAACAUUGAAACUGAAAUCAUUAG